rfam:Clonorchis sinensis DNA, scaffold: 1178, strain: Henan.
GUGGGCUAUGGCGAUGUGACACCGCAAUCUCCGCUUGGAAAAUUUAUCGGAUGUAUAUGUUCUAUUUGCGGUGUGCUCGUCAUUGCCUUGCCUAUCCCUAUCAUUGUGAAUAAC